AUUGAACGCUGGCGGCAUGCUUUACACAUGCAAGUCGAACGGUAACAGGCCGCAAGGUGCUGACGAGUGGCGAACGGGUGAGUAAUGCAUCGGAACGUGCCCAGUCGAGGGGGAUAACUGUCCGAAAGGAUAGCUAAUACCGCAUACGAUCUGCGGAUGAAAGCGGGGGACCUUCGGGCCUCGCGCGAUUGGAGCGGCCGAUGUCAGAUUAGGUAGUUGGUGGGGUAAAGGCUCACCAAGCCAACGAUCUGUAGCUGGUCUGAGAGGACGACCAGCCACACUGGGACUGAGACACGGCCCAGACUCCUACGGGAGGCAGCAGUGGGGAAUUUUGGACAAUGGGCGCAAGCCUGAUCCAGCAAUGCCGCGUGCAGGAAGAAGGCCUUCGGGUUGUAAACUGCUUUUGUACGGAACGAAACGGCUCUGUUAAUACCUGGGGCUAAUGACGGUACCGUAAGAAUAAGCACCGGCUAACUACGUGCCAGCCGCCGCAGUAA
rnacentral:rRNA from 1 species